CGUCCUUCUUGGAGUCGUCUCCAAAUGAAUAAAAUAGGUUACACACAAAUUCCUGGAACUAUUUGGAUUAAUAUUAACUGAAUAUUAAUUUCCUUCAAAUCCAAAGGCUCACAAUAAAAUUAUCCCAGGUUGUGGCCAUUGUGUUCCUAGGCUUUGUAGCGUUUACUUGGCGUGUCGCCCAUGCCCAGUCGGCUUGCUUGGCCGGCGACCCAAACCGGCUAAAAUUUGCGGGGUAUAUCUUUCGGUCCGCCCGGAUUGAGCGGUUCGGUCCCGGUCCGGUUCUGAGCCGAGAAAAAACAUUUCGGUCCGGUUUCGGAUUGACAGUUUCGGGCCUCGGUCCGGUUUCGGAUCAUGUCUGAUCCGGACCAAUUCGGACCAUGAAGAUCACUAGCCCUGAUCGUGGUGGUUGCACGGGCUUGAACGGCGGGCCGCUAUGUAAUCGGACAUCGCAAUGCUGUCAAUGCGUACAAAAUAAGUGUCAAGAUGUUACUGAUUGUAACUGGAUGUCAUGCCCGGGGGGAGAAACGGCCAGCUGUAUCCUGAAAAGGGAGGGCAGGGAAUGCGUUUGCACCGGUGAUAAUUACUGUACCACAAAUGGAACUCAGGCCUGACCAGGAGAUAAAUUUCCUCGCAAUGCCGUUUCAAAUUAUGAAAGGCUUUGCAAGUUUAACCAAUCAAGAAUUGUGAAAGUAUGCAAAGCCGAUCGAUACAGGGAAGAAUGUAAUUGCGUUGCAGGGGGACCACCUAUAGAUCCGUGUGACUCGGAUGGAGGGUGCACACGGUCAAACUUGACAUGUUCCUCUCCCUACGGACCGUACUGUAAUUUCACAUCAAAUCGUUGUCAAUGCAUCCGUAACCAGUGCCGGAGUAACAACGACUUCAACAGAAUGCGUUGCCCGGCCGGAAAAACGGCUAACUGCAUCCUCAAAAAAGUUGGGAGGGAGUGCGUCUGCACAGAUCGUAAUUAUUGUACCGCAAACGGGACACAACAGUGCCCUGGAGAUGAAUUCAGUUUAGAGUAUAUCAGUUACAAUAAUCAAUGCCGAAAUAAUAACAUAUCGCACAUUACAAAACUUUGCAUACGGGAUGGAAACAGAGUAGAGUGCGAUUGUGUUGCAGGGUGCUAUAAUACAAAUGAUUGCCGACUACAUUGCCCGGCUGGAAUGCACGCGCAGUGUGUAAAUAAUACCUGCGGUUGUUACAAACAGUGCCAAACCGACGCAACAUGCACAGCACGGCGUAAAUGUGGACACGGAGUAGGUGCAUCGGGGCAGAAACGCUUGCCACACAUUGUACUCCUUGUCGGUUUGAGUGUAAUUCGGAUUCUGAGUGCUCCACGUUUAACUGCACAGCAAACACGCCGUUCAAAAAAUGUGUGAACAAUGUCUGUGCUUGUCGCGAGUGCACUGCGGACUCGGACUGUUCACACAAAAACUGUCCAGCAAGUACGCCGUACAAAAUGUGUACCUCAAACGUUUGCAGGUGUGUCGAGUGCCAGGAGACAAGUCAAUGUCCUGAAUGCACUGGAGAUUUAAGGAAAUUAUGCUCGAAUGGACACACUUGCAAAUGUCUGCAUCCAAACGGUUGCGAAAAGAACUCGGAUUGUGACAGAAGUAAUUCACUGGACUGCUCGUUUCUUAGCCUAACCCCUCCAUGUUGUUGGCGUGACUGUGGUGGGACUCAGGCUUGUCGGUGCAAAAGUUCUUUUGAUAACUUGCUCACUUGCAGCAAAGGGGGUAACGGGUUUGAAUAUGCCGGGUGUUGAACUGAAUUAUACAACUGUCCCGAUAUAUACUUCAACAACAUUUAUUCUCUGAACUAUUAAAACUUAUUGAUAAUAAUAUGAUCGCUUAGAUUGAUUUCUGAAGUGGUGUUACCUUGUUUGAUG